rnacentral:lncRNA from 1 species
AUAUCUCUACAAAAUUUAAGUUAUCUGAUUUAUCUGCUCAAAAGUCUUUCCAUAUGCAAAUAUAUCUUUAAUUUAGAUAACCAUGAGUUAGAAAAGUUAACCAUAAUUAGUUACGGAAUAAAAUAACUUUUUUACUCCUUAUGUAUAUAAUAUGUAUUUUACUGUUAAGUCCCCUCAUCUUUUUUUACCCUUUUCUCUUUAUCCAUGGCGACAAAGAGACCUACGGUAGUGGCGACGUCGAAGGCAAGGCCCUCGGUUGCAACAAAAAUAAGGUAUGCCACACAUGUCGCGGGGAAGGUGAAGAGAAAGAAAGAAAGAUAGCUUUUUGUAUGGACAUGUUUGUAAGGAUAAAAUAGUCAUUUUAUACAUCCACCGUUAAAAAAUUAACGAUGAAUCAAAUAACAGGAAUAUAUAUGAACAAACUAGAACUUUUUGAUGAAUAUAUUAUAAAUCAGAAGAAUUUUAAAAGAAUAAAUUUGAUAACUUAAAUUUUUUAUUUAAAGAUACGUAUGAAAAUAAUUCUAAAAAAAUAGAAAAGCAGAAAAAAAAAAGGGGUAAACUUCAAAUACCCCCUGUGGUUUUGCACUUUCUCACUUUAGUACUAUGUGGUUUAAAGUGUAUCAAGUUAGUAUUCCGUGGUUUCAUUUUUAUUUUUUCGUCAGCUUCUCCGUUAAUAUUUUAUUAAAUUAUAUACAAAACACUUCAGAUACCCUAUCUAGGUUUAUCAAAUAUUCACUUUAGUAUCCUUUAGUUUUAAUUUUAUCACUAAUUUAACGAAAAAAAUUAGUGGAAUCGAUAAUAAAAAGAUAAAAAUAAAACUACAUAUACUAAAUUAAUAUACUUUAAAUUAUAAGGUACUUAAAAUGAGAAAGUGUGAAACUCCUAGGUGGUAUUUGAAGUUUCCCAAAAAAAAAGAGGAAAAG